rnacentral:rRNA from 1 species
UACAGAGGGUGCGAGCGUUAAUCGGAAUUACUGGGCGUAAAGGGCGCGUAGGUGGUUACUUAAGUUAGAUGUGAAAUCCCAGGGCUCAACCUUGGCACUGCAUUUGAUACUGAGUAGCUAGAGUACAGUAGAGGGAAGUGGAAUUUCCGGUGUAGCGGUGAAAUGCGUAGAUAUCGGAAGGAACAUCAGUGGCGAAGGCGACUUUCUGGACUGAUACUGACACUGAGGCGCGAAAGCGUGGGGAGCAAACAGG